rnacentral:rRNA from 2 species
UUCGCAAUGCCCGAAAGGGUGACGAAGCGACGCCGCGUGGGUGAGGAAGGCCUUCGGGUUGUAAAGCCCUGUCAGGAGUUAAGAAAUGUAGAUUCGCUAAUAUCGGGUCUAUUUGACGAAGGCUCCAAAGGAAGCCACGGCUAACUCUGUGCCAGCAGCCGCGGUAAUACAGAGGUGGCAAGCGUUGUUCGGAAUUAUUGGGCGUAAAGAGCACGUAGGUGGAUUUGUAAGUCAGAUGUGAAAGCCUUCUGUUCAACGGAAGAAUUGCAUCUGAAACUGUGAAUCUUGAGUAUAGGAGGGGAGAAUGGAACUUCUGGUGGAGCGGUGAAAUGCGUAGAUAUCAGAAGGAACGCCGGCGGCGAAAGCGAUUCUCUGGCCUAUUACUGACACUGAGUGUGCGAAAGCUAGGGGAGCAAACGGGAUUAGAUACCCCGGUAGUCCUAGCCGUAAACGAUGGGCACUAAGUAGAGGGGUUUU